ensembl:lncRNA
UGUGAAUCAUGAGAAUGGUUAUUGAGAGAUUUCCACUUAAAAACUAAAUAGAUUCACUGUUGCUAUUGAAGUCCUUCCAAUUGGCCAACAAGAUGUUCAACCUGAUGACUGUAUAAAGGAAUGGACACAGCCAUCGAUCACGUGACACCAUUCGUUCCUAGGUGAAGACUCAACAGCGCAUUGAAACCAAAUGAGCAUCAGUAGAACAUGCCUGACACUCCUCCACACAAGGAGAUUGGUCUAAUGCCUCCCUUCAAAAAGAGAGCUGGCCCAAGCAAGAACAGGUUACACCUGAAGCAUGAGGACUUGGAGCGAGUGGUGAACUUCAUCAACAACUACAGGAUAAUGCAACAGUAUUACCAGGAUGCCACCCGGGACACAGGCUCUUUGGUGGAAAGCUGUUGUCAUGUGAUAAAAGCAGUGGUGUGGCGUCUCUACAAGGAAUCAAUGACAACACUUG